rnacentral:rRNA from 1 species
UGAGAUAUCCCCCACAGAAGUGGGUAAGACCCCUUGAAGACUACGAGGUAGAUAGGGCAUGGGUGUAAGUGCAGCAAUGCAUUAAGCUGAAUGCUACUAAUCGGUCGAGGGCUUAUCCUA